rnacentral:rRNA from 1 species
UACGUAGGGUGCAAGCGUUGUUCGGAAUCAUUGGGCGUAAAGCGCGUGUAGGUGGCUAGUUAAGUUGGGUGUGAAAUCCCUGGGCUCAACCGAGGAAGUGCACUCAAAACUAGCUGGCUAGAGGAUGGUAGAGGAAGGUGGAAUUCCAAGUGUAGAGGUGAAAUUCGUAGAUAUUUGGAGGAAUACCGGCGGCGAAGGCGGCCUUCUGGGCCAUUCCUGACACUGAGACGCGAAAGCGUGGGGAGCAAACAGG